rfam:Oryza glumipatula chromosome 1, whole genome shotgun sequence.
AAUAAGGCAAAUCCUGGGUUUUCGUGUCCAACUUUGACUGUCUGUCUUAUAUGAAAUCUUUUUAUAAUUCGUAUUUUCAUUGUUGUUAGAUGAUAAAACAUGAUUAAUAUUUUAUGCGUGACUUGUCUUUUUAAUUUUUUUCAUAUUUUUUUCAAAUAAGAUGGACGGUCAAACGUUGGGCACGGAAAUCAGGGUUUGUCUUUUU